rnacentral:rRNA from 1 species
UACGUAGGGCGCAAGCGUUAUCCGGAAUUAUUGGGCGUAAAGAGCUCGUAGGCGGUUUGUCGCGUCUGCCGUGAAAGUCCGGGGCUCAACUCCGGAUCUGCGGUGGGUACGGGCAGACUAGAGUGAUGUAGGGGAGACUGGAAUUCCUGGUGUAGCGGUGAAAUGCGCAGAUAUCGGGAGGAACACCAGUGGCGAAGGCGACUACCUGGCCUGUUCUUGACGCUGAGGCGCGAAAGCUAGGGGAGCAAACGGGGAUUAAGAAACC